UCAUAGGGGAGUGCAUGACAGUUUAGAAGUUUAGAAGUUGCCCGUAGGCACAGAUCUAGGCACAGAUCUAGGUUCAGUUUACCCUCCCCCAAAAUCCUAACCUCAACCAAAAACUGACCUUAGAUCAGCGUCUAGGGUUCGUAUAGUCCUGCAGCAGGUGUAUCCGGGAAGAGUCAAACCCCCAACCCUUCUCAGGUUCUCGGUGUUACACCACCUAUAAAUCCAGGACACUGGCUCGAGCAGGGUCUGAAGGCUAUACCCACCCAUGAGAGAGAGGACAUCACGGCUCUGUCUGUUCUGACCAACAAGCCAUCUUCAUCGCCAGCUGUGCACCUUCAAUGCAGGCUACCGGUGCAUCACCAAUGACAACUUCCUUACUCCGUCUCUGGACUUUCCCAUGGAGUCUAUUCUGUCUGUUUGACAAAAUGUUUCCCUCUCGAGAAGAGAGACUAGGACCGGGGACGUAUGCUACCACGGAGAUCCGAGUCCCUUCCACAGUGUGGGUGAAAUGGCACGGUAAUAGUAGGGUCGUCUGAUGGAGGAAUCGGUUAAACAUUAACGGCCUGGCGGACACAGCGGAGAGCUCUCCAACAUGACCAAGUGUCUGACCACGAACUACGUUUAAUAAAGUCUAAUAAAAUGUAUUUAAAUGAAGAUGAAUAAUAGGCCUAUAAUGACACACACACACAGGUCAAGAGGGUCUUGGUGGAGCUUGCGUGGUGACUUGCUGCCUGGGGUGUGUGUGCACAUUAGUAGGUGUUAUUGCUGCCUGAGGGGCGUGUGCUUUUAACAGACAGUCAAAUGUGUCGCAAAUUAAACAUGCAAACACCCUGGGAGUUCCUGAUUGUCAAAUAGGUUGUGUUCCAUGCUUUUGAUUGGCCCUUAUAUGAGAUAGAAAGGAGAUAAGAGAAACCCUGAGCUUUAGGCCUACCUCGCUCUCUCUGUCUCUCUCUCUCUUUCUCUCACACACACACACCGUCUGUCUGAGUUUGGGUGGCAGGAGUCUGUUUUUCACAUUUGCUCUUUAGGAAGAUUAGUUUCCAGGCUAACAUGUGGUUGCUUGGUAACGGGUGGCGCAAGUCAUUUCCACCUCUGCUCACUAUUCAAACUGCCUGACCUUACAGGGGAGCAGGACAACACUCAAACAACAUAAAACAACUUCACUCAAAAUGAUAACAGCACUGUGUGUGUGUGUGUGUGUGUGUGUGUGUGUGUGUGUGUGUGUGUGUGUGUGUGUGUGUGUGUGUGUGUGUGUGUGUGUGUGUGUGUGUGUGUGUGUGUGUGUGUGUGUGUGUGUCAGGACAACACUCACACAAUGCUGAAACACUCAAACAACAUAAAACAACUUCACUCAAAAUCACUGUGUAUGUGUGUGUGUGUGUGUGUGUGUGUGUGUGUGUGUGUGUGUGUGUGUGCCCAGAUGUUAUCAGGUCAGGUCAUGCAAAUUAUGCAUUUGCCAGUGAAAUGGGAGUAACUGCUAUAGAGGGUGAAGGACUGAAGGUUUUAAGUGUUGAGGGAGUAGUUAAAUAGUUAUGUUAGUUAAUGUCACUCACACACACACACACACACACACACACACACACAUACACACUAUGUCUCCUUUUAGGACCACUAGGUGGAGGCAUCAGCUCAUAGAUACAGAGCACUUAGCAUUCCAUGAAAAAUAUUAAAAUUCUCACCAGAAGAGUGACCUGUGUUGCCAACAUGGCAGCCUGUAUAAUGACAGUGGGCUAUAAUGAAACAAGGUUUUCCAAACUCUGUGAAGGCCCAUCGCUAUGCUACAUACGUGUUUUCUAUGAGUCUGGGGCCCAUAUUCAUAAAGCUGCUCAAAGGCCCAGUGCAGUCAAAAAUGUGAUUUUCUUGUGUUUUAUAUAUACUUCCACACUAUGAGGUUGGAAUAAUACUGUGAAAUUGUGAAAAUUAUGAUAAUGCCCUUUUAGCGUAAGAGCUAUUUGAAAAGACCUGAAAUUUCAGCCUGUUUUGGUGGGAUGGAGUUUCAACCAGCCUGUUGACCCAGGCGGUAAUUUAGUUAAUAGACCAAUAAGAAAGAGAGUUCCAAACCUUUCUGCCAAUAACAGCUAGUUUUCAGUUUCCCCUCACCACUCAGACCACUCCCAGACAGUCCUAGCUAAAUUGUAGCUUGAAAAAUUGCUCUUUGCUAGAAGCUAUUUUAGUUUAUUAUUGACCAUUUUAAUUGAAAACAAUCACAGUAAGGUACUUCAUUUUUACCCAGAAAUGAUUUGAUAUAGAGAUUAAAACAGCUGCAUUGGACCUUUAAAGGAGUGCUGAUCUAGGAUGAGUUUUGCCUAAUUAGAUCAUAUUGAAUCCACUGAUCCUGGAUCAGCACUUCUACUCUGAGAUAGUUUGUGAAUAAGGCCUCUGAACUCCUCUCACCUGUUAUAAUGAUGAAAGCUGAAUGUGUCCUGUUUCUUCUGUGUCUAACAUGCUCACUGGGCCACACUGGUUAACAUAACUGUCCAGUGAAAGUCUAACUUUUAGAAGUUCACAUUCUGUUAACUCAUACCCAAAUAAUGUUGUUGACUCAUCCUAUACUCGUAUUUGUGGCCAAAGCAUAAAUUGGAGGGGAAAAAAACACUUUAAAAAUCCCACCUCAAACUUGUAUCUCAUACAGACUGGUUUAAAAAAUGCUUUCUAUUUACACAUAGAGGAUGAGCUGGCCGAUCAGUGGUCUACUUGCGUGAAUAUUUUUAAUGGCCGGUAUAUGGCCACACCGUUCUGUUGUUGGGGUAAACCCACACCAUUCCUACACAGAAAAUAUGAUUUUUAACAUACUUAAUUACCAUUUUUUAGGAAGGAAAACUAUUUCACUCAUAUUGUCAUUAAUUAUAGGUCAUAUUUCAUAGAAAUCUAGAAACACUGGACAAUUACUCUCUCUCUUUUAGCUCUAUGCUCUGUUAUUGUAAGGAGUCAUCUGUAAAGCACCUUUGGAUGCAAUGAAUUGUAAGACAUUGUAACAAUACAAGUAUUAUACCUUAGAAUCUGUGUGUGUGUGUGUGUGUGU
rnacentral:lncRNA from 1 species